CCUACGGGUGGCAGCAGUGAGGAAUAUUGGUCAAUGGACGCAAGUCUGAACCAGCCAUGCCGCGUGCAGGAAGACGGCUCUAGGAGUUGUAAACUGCUUUUGUACGAGGGAAAACGCAGAUACGCGUAUCAGUCUGAAAGUAUCGUACGAAUAAGGAUCGGCUAACUCCGUGCCAGCACCCGCGGUAAUACGGAGGAUUCAAGCGUUAUCCGGAUUUAUUGGGUUUAAAGGGUGCGUAGGCGGUCGGGUAAGUUAGGGGUGAAAUCCCGAGGCUCAACUUCGGAAUUGCCUCUGAUACUGUUCGGCUAGAGAGCAGUUGCGGUAGGCGGAAU
rnacentral:rRNA from 1 species